rnacentral:sRNA from 1 species
AUUUCGUAAAUUCAAGCAUUAGCACCUCAAAAUGGUUCGCAAAGUUCAUACAACAGAAGAAGAAAAAAAAGGUUUUCAAUAAGGUUUGGGUCCCAUGAUUGCGUCUUCAAAACUCGCUAGAAUUCUGCUUGUCUGGAAGAAUGCUUUGAGUCGUUAACUUACAUGAAUUGUCACUUAAGUGGAAUUUUUGCCCACUAAUCAUCAUUGUGAUUAUUUUUAUUAUUUUUUCCUCCACUGUAAUUUUCCUUUACAAAGCCCUAGCCAUUUUAAAAGAGAGAAGAGACAGGCUCAGACUCUUAAAAUGGAUAUUUCUUCAUAUAUAAAAAAAUUCAUUGAAAUGCUUUAAAAUUCACUACAAUAAUGACAAACUACAUUAAACAUA